UACGUAAGGGGCAAGCGUUGUCCGGAAUCACUGGGCGUAAAGCGCACGUAGGCGGUUUAGCAAGUUGGGGGUGUAAGCUCUAGGCUUAACCUAGAAAUUGCCUCCAAAACUACUUCACUUGAGUAUUAGAGGGGAAGCUGGAAUUCACGGUGUAGCGGUGAAAUGCGCAGAUAUCAGGAGGAACACCAAUGGCGAAGGCAGCUCGCUGGGACGGUACUGACGCUGAGACGCGAAAGCGUGGGGAGCAAACAGG
rnacentral:rRNA from 1 species